rnacentral:pre_miRNA from 1 species
CUUAUACUCCCUCUGUCCCAAAAUUCUUGUCUUAGAUUUGUAUAGAUAUGGAUGUAUCUAAUACUAAAAUGUAACUAGAUACAUUCGUAUUUAGACAAAUCUAAGACAAGAAUUUUGG